AUAUGACAUAGAGGUCGCAACCAACAAGAGUACUUAGCUAAGUCGGCAGACAGCGCGGUUAAGGAAAGGGAAGGUUGCCGAAAUGUGUUUUGUGGCAAUGAAACACGUUGGUCUAGACGUGAACAACGGUUAGACUGUCGCAGCAAAAUCUGUCGGCUGCGGAGCGCUAUCGACAAC
rfam:Weissella cibaria strain MG1 contig000023, whole genome shotgun sequence.